rnacentral:rRNA from 1 species
UGGGGAAUUUUGGACAAUGGGCGAAAGCCUGAUCCAGCAAUGCCGCGUGUGCGAAGAAGGCCUUCGGGUUGUAAAGCACUUUUGUCCGGAAAGAAAUCCGUCUGGCUAAUACCCGGAUGGGAUGACGGUACCGGAAGAAUAAGCACCGGCUAACUACGUGCCAGCAGCCGCGGUAAUACGUAGGGUGCGAGCGUUAAUCGGAAUUACUGGGCGUAAAGCGUGCGCAGGCGGCGAUGCAAGACAGGUGUGAAAUCCCCGGGCUUAACCUGGGAACUGCACUUGUGACUGCAUGGCUAGAGUGCGUCAGAGGGGGGUGGAAUUCCGCGUGUAGCAGUGAAAUGCGUAGAGAUGCGGAGGAACACCGAUGGCGAAGGCAGCCCCCUGGGAUGACACUGACGCUCAGGCACGAAAGCGUGGGGAGCAAACAG